UACGUAGGGUGCGAGCGUUGUCCGGAUUUAUUGGGCGUAAAGAGCGUGUAGGCGGCUAGAUAGGUCCGUUGUGAAAACUCGAGGCUCAACCUUCAGACGUCGACCCAAACCCCCUGGCUAGCAGUCCGGAAGAGGAGAGUGGAAUUCCUGGUGUAGCGGUGAAAUGCGCAGAUAUCAGGAAGAACACCCGUGGCGAAGGCGGCUCUCUGGGACGGUACUGACGCUGAGGAGCGAAAGCAUGGGGAGCGAACAGG
rnacentral:rRNA from 1 species